rnacentral:lncRNA from 1 species
AUUUCUCUUUUUUUUUUCUGUGUGUGGGAUUAUGCAAGAACUGUAUUUUGGCUUGAAGUAUAAUUAUAUAUAUUUCGAAUUAGGAUCACAAUUAGAUCACUUGUAAAUUUUGAGGUUUAUUUUUUAAAAAUUAUGACUAAAUUGAUAUAAUAUGUAAAAGUUGAGGGCUAAAUUUAUUAUUAUACUGAUUUUUUAACUACCACGUCAGCUUGACAUUUGUGACUUUAACAGGGGUGGUC